AAACUACUCCCUCCGUCCGGAAAUACUUGUCCUAGAAAUGGAUAAAAUAGAUGUAUCUAUAACUAAAAUAAGUCUAGAUACAACCAUUUUUAGGACAAGUAUUUCCGGAGGGAGGGAGUAUUUU
rnacentral:pre_miRNA from 1 species